AGAAGUGCGAAUGCUGACAUAAGUAACGAUAAAGCGGGUGAAAAGCCCGCUCGCCGGAAGACCAAGGGUUCCUGUCCAACGUUAAUCGGGGCAGGGUGAGUCGACCCCUAAGGCGAGGCCGAAAGGCGUAGUCGAUGGGAAACGGGUUAAUAUUCCCGUACUUGGUGUUACUGCGAAGGGGGGACGGAGAAGGCUAUGUUGGCCGGGCGACGGUUGUCCCGGUUUAAGCGUGUAGGUGUGUGUUCCAGGUAAAUCCGGUUCACUUUAACACUGAGGCGUGACGACGAGGCACUACGGUGCUGAAGCAACAAAUGCCCUGCUUCCAGGAAAAGCCUCUAAGCAUCAGGUAACAUCAAAUCGUACCCCAAACCGACACAGGUGGUCAGGUAGAGAAUACCAAGGCGCUUGAGAGAACUCGGGUGAAGGAACUAGGCAAAAUGGUGCCGUAACU
rnacentral:rRNA from 1 species